AAAUGAAGAUAUCUAAGUUCUCAAGGGAAGGGAAGUGAUUCGUUCAAGGUCACACAGAUACUAAGAACUACUCUAGAUAAACUCAUAAGGCUAGAGAUGAGAUGAUACUUUUUUUUUUUUAAGGAAGGGCACCGAAAUUCAAGCUGAACAACAGGACAGAAGCGGGGAACCCUCCUUCUGGACUCAAAUCAAAAGGUACGCCCCCUCCCCAAAGCCGGAAUCCGAGAAUACUCAGGGCUAAGGGGAAGGCAGAGCAAAGGUCCCAGGUCCCCUCCCCCACAACCCAGAGGGCUGAGCCCCCAGCAGCAGCAAAACCUCUGAGCGGGCAAAGGUGCUGGUUUGCAGGGUCUACCUUGGGAGCAGCGGGGCGCCGGGCUCGGAGCAUCCAGCUUAGACAGCGGGGAGGAAGCCAGGGAGAAAUGGGGCAGUGGCUGGGUCCCUCCAUCGGCUCCAGUCUCACCCUUGCCUCGGGCACAUCCAGAC
rnacentral:lncRNA from 1 species